rnacentral:rRNA from 1 species
GACGAACGCUGGCGGCGUGCUUAACACAUGCAAGUCGAACGGAAAGGCCCUGCUUUUGUGGGGUGCUCGAUUGGCGAACGGGUGAGUAACACGUGAGUAACCUGCCCCUGACUUUGGGAUAACUUCAGGAAACUGGGGCUAAUACCGCAUAGGAGCUCCUGCUGCAUGGUGGGGGUUGGAAAGUUUCGGCGGUUGGGGAUGGACUCGCGGCUUAUCAGCUUGUUUGUGGGGUAGUGGCUUACCAAGGCUUUGACGGGUAGCCGGCCUGAGAGGGUGACCGGCCACAUUGGGACUGAGAUACGGCCCAGACUGCUACGGGAGGCAGCAGGGGGGAAUAUUGACCAAUGGGCGGAAGCCUGAUGCAGAAGCGCCGCGUGCGGGAUGACGGCCUUCGGGUUGUAAACCGCUUUCGCCUGUGACGAAGCGUGAGUGACGGUAAUGGGUAAAGAAGCCCCGGCUAACUACGUG